CAGGGUUUGAUCCUGGCUCAGGACGAACGCUGGCGGCGUGCCUAAUACAUGCAAGUAGAACGCACAGGAUGCACCGUAGUUUACUACACCGUAUUCUGUGAGUUGCGAACGGGUGAGUAACGCGUAGGUAACCUGCCUGGUAGCGGGGGAUAACUAUUGGAAACGAUAGCUAAUACCGCAUAAGAACAUUUACUGCAUGGUAGAUGUUUAAAAGGUGCAAAUGCAUCACUACCAGAUGGACCUGCGUUGUAUUAGCUAGUAGGUGAGGUAACGGCUCACCUAGGCGACGAUACAUAGCCGACCUGAGAGGGUGAUCGGCCACACUGGGACUGAGACACGGCCCAGACUCCUACGGGAGGCAGCAGUAGGGAAUCUUCGGCAAUGGGGGGAACCCUGACCGAGCAACGCCGCGUGAGUGAAGAAGGUUUUCGGAUCGUAAAGCUCUGUUGUUAAGGAAGAACGAGUGUGAGAAUGGAAAGUUCAUACUGUGACGGUACUUAACCAGAAAGGGACGGCUAAUUCCGUGCCAGCA
rnacentral:rRNA from 1 species